GACGAACGCUGGCGGCGUGCUUAACACAUGCAAGUCGAACGGAAAGGCCCUGCUUUUGUGGGGUGCUCGAGUGGCGAACGGGUGAGUAACACGUGAGUAACCUGCCCUUUACUUUGGGAUAACUUCAGGAAACUGGGGCUAAUACCGGAUAGGAGCUCCUGCUGCAUGGUGGGGGUUGGACAGUUUCGGCGGUUGGGGAUGGACUCGCGGCUUAUCAGCUUGUUGGUGGGGUAGUGGCUUACCAAGGCUUUGACGGGUAGCCGGCCUGAGAGGGUGACCGGCCACAUUGGGACUGAGAUACGGCGCAGACGCCUACGGGAGGCAGAAGUGGGGAAUAUUGCACAAUGGGCGGAAGCCUGAUGCAGAGACGCCGCGUGCGGGAUGACGGCCUUCGGGUUGUAAACCGCUGUCGCCUGUGACGAAGCGUGAGUGACGGUAAUGGGUAAAGAAGCACCGGCUAACUACGUG
rnacentral:rRNA from 1 species